UGGGGAAUUUUGGACAAUGGGCGCAAGCCUGAUCCAGCCAUGUCGCGUGUCUGAAGAAGGCCUUCGGGUUGUAAAGGACUUUUGUCAGGGAAGAAAAGGGCGGGGUUAAUACCCCUGUCUGAUGACGGUACCUGAAGAAUAAGCACCGGCUAACUACGUGCCAGCAGCCGCGGUAAUACGUAGGGUGCGAGCGUUAAUCGGAAUUACUGGGCGUAAAGCGGGCGCAGACGGUUACUUAAGCAGGAUGUGAAAUCCCCGGGCUCAACCUGGGAACUGCGUUCUGAACUGGGUGACUAGAGUGUGUCAGAGGGAGGUAGAAUUCCACGUGUAGCAGUGAAAUGCGUAGAGAUGUGGAGGAAUACCGAUGGCGAAGGCAGCCUCCUGGGAUAACACUGACGUUCAUGCCCGAAAGCGUGGGUAGCAAACA
rnacentral:rRNA from 1 species